CAACCGCGACGCCUCCCACGAUCUCUGUCAGCCGCCCGUAGGGUGAUGAUGACCCUGCCACUCCCUAGAGGCAUCAUGACAAGCCAAAAUAUCUCCCUACCAUUAAAGAGAGAGACAGAACUUCUGAUACUAUAUAUAUGGACCUUCACACAAGGAGGAAGGUAAGCUUGCUAUACUUAAUAAAAGGCCAAUUGAUUUAUCUCUCUAACCAUGGCUGACAAAACCAUCGGAGGGUGCGUUCGGACAGGGUGUCCGGACGCCUUUUGCAGGAACGACUGAACCAGGAAUCUAUAUUGGUUAAGAUCGUGCGUCCAUCCAUUUGGCAAUUACGUGGAUCACCAGGGACGCGAGGCCUCAACAUUGGCGCCGUCUGUGGGAAAAUCACUGAUUCAGUCACCGGUAAAGAUGACCACACUUUCCCGUAGCCGAUCAUCUGGUAGGGGAGAGGAAGAUAAUUCUGAAUGGCGCCAAGCCAUCGAAAGAAGAUAGUUGGCAAGCGAACGACAACUACAAGCUCUCCUCCAGGAGACAAUAAGAUUAAGAGAAGAAAACGUGGUGCUACGCAUCCAAGCUUCAUCGACGGGGCCUCCUCGUCGUCAGCAUUCAAGAGGCCAGGUAGCAAACUCAAGGCCAGACCUAGAGUCAAUAUACCCUGGGAUGGCAGGAGCCAUCCCAGAAACAGGCAACAUUAGACCGCAUGAGCCACACACGCCCAUGCACCGAGCUCCCCAUGAGGAAAGCUUGGAUUCUACUCAUUUUUCAACAAAAAGACAACACGAUAAAAAAUCCCAGUUGUCAGACUCAAUGCGCGCGAGGCUAGGUCUACAGGAGACUGGGAGACCAAAGCCACCAGUAGCCACAACCUGGGCAGCGCACCUUGACCCCAUGGUCACCCCUAGGAUGCAGAAUGUUCUCCCGCACCGUGACCCUAUGGUCACCCCUAUGGUGCAGAACGUUCAUCCGCACCUAGCGGUACGACAAGCUGGGAGAAACCUCCCAAACGAGCCACCCAUUGGCUCCAUCAGCAAAAUGCUGGACGACAUGUUCUCCAUGCCUUUUUGCUCUCAUAUCAUUCAUUACGAGCCCCCAAGGGGAUUCCUCGUGCCAAAAUUUUCCACAUAUGAUGGGUCCAGUGACCUCUUCGACCAUAUCAUGCAUUAUCGAUAGCUCAUGACUCUCGAUAUAGGCAAUGACGCGCUGCUAUGCAAAGUAUUCUUCGCCAGCCUACAAGGGCAGGCUCUCUCAUGGUUCCAUCGCCUACCUCCCAACUCUGUUGAUAAUUUCAGAGACCUAUCGGAAGCCUUCGUGGGACAAUACUUAUGCUCCGCUCGACAUAAACAGAAUAUCAGCACUUUGCAAAACAUAAAAAUGCAAGAUAACGAAUCCUUAAGGGAGUUCGUAAAACGGUUUGGUCAGGCCGUACUACAGGUAGAGGCUUACAGCAUGGAUGUUGUCUUGCAGAUCUUCAAGCGAAGCAUCUGUCCAGGCACCCCAUUUUUUGAAUCACUUGCUAAAAAGCCUCUUAUAAUGAUGGACGACUUGUUCUGACGUGCGAGUAGCCACCCAGCAAGUCUUGGUUGUUGGACAGGCAUCCAGAAAUGGCGCAGAAAGAAGUGCCAAACUUCCGGACCGGCCAAGGCCGUUCGAUCGAAGGCAGGAAGGGCCAAGUCGCCCGGAAAGGCCGCCCCUCACGCCCCUUUCCAUAUCCUAUGAGAAACUUCUCCCUAUGAUCCAAGACAUGUCUGACUUCAGGUGGCCUAGACCCCUCGGAACGGAUCCAUCCAAAAGAGAUCAUAAUAAAAAAUGUGUCUUCCACAAGGAACAUGGUCACACAACAGAGACAUGCAGGUGCCUCCAUUAUUUGGUCGAAAGGCUCAUAAGGGCGGGACAUUUAAAGCAAUACCUCCGCUCAGAGGUUGGAGGUAGAGACGCUUCUCGAAAUCACAACUCUGGAGCCCCUAGGGCCCAACCGCCCCCAAAGCCGUUAUAAACUAUAUUAACGGAGGCCCAUCUGACGAGGAGUACGACUCCAAACGAAAGAGACAAAAGUUGUUGCGGGCAGCAUCGGUGCGCGAGCGUGUCAACUCCAUCCGGCCUGGGAUAACUAGGGGAGGCCCUCGCCCCAUAGAUGGGACAAUCAUUUUCCCACCAGUAGACCCCACCCGGAUAUUGCAGCCGCACCGCGACGCCCUCAACCUAUCCCUAGAGAUAGGAGACUUCGACAUAAGACGCAUCCUGGUUGACCCGGGCAGCUUGGCCGAUCUUGUACAAGCGUCAGUCAUCAGCCACAUGGGACACAGUCUCACAGGCCUCGAAAACCCUGGGCGAAUCUUGUUCAGAUUCAACGGGGCAUCAACUACUUCCUUGGGAGAUAUUGUACUACCGGUCCAAGUUGGCCAAGUCACUCUCAACGUACAAUUUUCGAUGGUACAAGAUUUAUCACCCUUCACUGUUAUCUUGGGAUGCACAUGGCUGCACUACAUGAAAGUCAUCCCCUCUACAUAUCAUCAAAUGGUAAGCUUCCUUACCAAGGAUGAGUAAAUUGACCUAUAUGGCAGCCAGUUAGCCGCUCGCCAAUGCUACCAGAUAGCGCAAGAAGCAGAGACCAGUCAGGAGGAUGCAUCCCUCCCUGAGUCCAACCAUGCACGUGACCAAUAGCAAUUAUUGAGUUCGGCGGACAAAGAUCCCCCGGCAACGGAUCCCUUGCGGGCGAUCCAAAUUUCGGAAGAAGGUACUCACCUUACGAAUAUCAGUUCCCUCCUGACACCAAAAGAAACCCGGAACAUGCAGAACGCCCUCAGACAAAACCAUGACGUCUUCGCAUGGGCACAUUCUGAUAUGAAGGGAAUUCAUCCCUCCAUUACCUCUCAUAAGCUUAACGUCUUGCCAACAGCCAGACCCAUCCGGCAGAGGGUUAGGCAUUUUCACCCGGACAGGCAAAAAAUUAUCCUGGAUGAAAUAGACAAGUUGCUGGAAGCCGAAUUCAUCAGAGAAGUGGAGUACCCGGACUGGUUGGCAAAUGUAGUGGUGGUACCCAAAAAAGAAGGCAAAUGGCGGGUGUGCGUCGACUACACCAACCUCAAUAAUGCAUGCCCAAAAGAUAGUUUCCCUUUGCCGCGGAUAGAUCAAAUUAUGGAUUCCAUUGCUGGGUAGGGGAUGCUCUCCUUCUUGGACGCCUUCUCUGGAUACCACCAAAUCCCCAUGUCCCCGGCUGACGAGGAAAAAACAACCUUCAUAAUGCCACACAGUCUUUACUGCUACAAAGUCAUGUCAUUCGGACUCAAAAACGCUGGCGCCACUUAUCAGAGACUGAUGACAAAGAUCUUCAAACCUCUGGUCGGCCGCACAGUAGAGGUAUAUAUUGACGAUAUUGUGGUUAAAAGCAAAACCCGAAAAGAACAUGUCCUCCAUUUGCAAGAAGUCUUCCACCUCUUAAGGAAGUAUGACAUGAAGUUGAAUCCUUCUAAAUGCGCCUUUGGCGUAAGUGUUGGCAAAUUCCUGGGAUUUAUGGUCAGCCAAAGGGGGAUAGAGGUUAGCCCGGAUCAAGUCAAGGCAGUCAUAGAAACACCACCCCCCAGGAGCAAGAAGGAAUUACAGCGUCUCACAGGCAAGCUCGUCGCACUAGGGCGUUUUAUAACCCGCUUCACUGAUGAACUGCGUCCCUUCUUCUUGGCAAUACGAAAAGCUGGAGCAAACGAAUGGACAGACAGCUAUCAAAACGCUUUUGAAAAAAUCAAACACUGCCUCAUGCAACCGCCCAUCCUAAACAGUCCCCUCCCUGAAGAAAAAUUGUAUAUGUAUUUGGCUAUAUAGAAGUGGGCAAUUAGCGCUGUUCUAUUCCGCUGCCCAUCGCCCAAGGAGCAGAAACCUAUCUACUACAUCAGCAGAGCAUUAGCGAACGUAGAAACUAGAUAUUCAAAGAUGGAGCUAACGACCUUAGCUCUUCGAAGUGCCGCCCAGAAGCUCCGUCCUUACUUCCAAGCCCACCCGGUGGUCGUGCUAACUGACCAGCCCCUUCGCAACAUUCUACACAAGUCGGACCUAACCGGGAGAAUGCUUCAAUGGGCCAUAGAGUUGAGCGAAUAUGGAAUCGAGUUCCAACCCAGGUUAUUCAUGAAGGGCUAAGUGAUGGCUGACUUUGUGCUGGAAUACUCCCGAGAGCCUAUCCAACACAAAGAACCAAGUGAAAAAGAAUGGUGGACUUUGCGAGUUGAUGGAGCCUCCCGAUCAUCAGGAUCCGGGGUAGGGCUCCUGCUGCAAUCCCCAACAGGAGAACAUCUGGAGCAAGCCAUCCGACUGGGGUUCCCCGCCUCUAACAAUAAAGCGGAAUAUGAGACCAUCCUAUCCGGAUUGGACCUCGCCCUGGCUCUAUCCAUAUCCAAGCUCCAGGUCUAUAGUGAUUCCCAACUCGUGGUAAGACACGUCCACAAGGAAUACGAAGCUAAGAAUGUGCGCAUGGCGCGAUAUCUAACUAAAGUAAGGGACACCUUACAACGAUUCACCGAGUGGACGAUUGAGAAAAUUAGACGAACUGAAAAUGGGCGCGCUGACGCCUUGGCAGGCAUAGCUGCCUCCCUUCCCAUAAAAGAAGCCAUAUUGUUGCCUAUACAUGUGCAAGCCAACCCUUCCGUCGCAGAAGCUUCCACUUGCAAUACCAUUGAAGCAAAACAAGCAGACGACCAAGAAUGGACGAACGACAUUAUAAGGUACCUCUGGACAGACACUCUGCCCAAGGAUCCCAAGCAGGCACAUAAGAUCCGGGUGCAGGCCGCCCGUUUCACCUUGAUCGGGGGGCACUUGUACAAACGGUCCUUCACAGGUCCCUACCUUCGGUGUUUAAGCCAUUCAGAGGCCCUGUAUGUAUUAGCUGAAUUGCACGAGAGAGUAUGUGGAAAUCAUUCUGAAGGACGAUCUCUGGUGCAUAGGGCCCAUUCGCAAGGAUAUUACUGGCCCACGAUGAAGAAGGAUACGGCAGCCUACGUCAAAAAAUGCGACAAAUGUCAAAGGCAUGCCCCCAUACCACAUGUGCCGUCGGAGACAUUGAAACCAAUUUUAGGCCCCUGGCCCUUUGCACAGUGGGGCAUGGACAUAGUAGGACCCCUACCAGCCGCACCCGCCCAGAAGAAAUUCCUGCUCGUCGCCACGGAUUACUUCAGUUAAUGGGUGGAAGCUAAAGCAUACGCUAGCAUCAAAGACAAAGAUGUCACCAAGUUCGUGUGGAAGAACAUCAUCUGUCACUUUGGAAUCCCCCAAACCAUUAUAGCUGACAACGGUCCACAGUUUGAUAGCAUCGCUUUCUGGAAUUUCUGUUCGGAACUAAACAUCCGGAAUUCAUACUCCACACCGCGUUAUCCCCAAAGUAAUGGGCAAGCAGAGGCCACAAACAAGACUCUAAUCACUGCCUUAAAGAAAAAGCUCGAGCAAGCCAAAGGAAAAUGGGUGGAGGAGCUACCCGGCAUCUUAUGGGUUUAUCGAACCACACCCGGACGUCCGACAUGAAACACUCCCUUCGCCCUCGCAUACGGUAUGGACGCAAUCAUUCCUACUGAAAUAGGGUUACCCAUUAUCUGGACUGAGGUAGGAAGGCAGGACGAUGCAAAUGCAGAGUUAGGAAGAAACUUGGACUGGGCAGACGAAGUAAGAGAAACUGCAUCCAUCCGGAUGGCAGAUUAUCAAUAGAGGACAUCCGCUCACUACAAUCGCAAAGCGAGGCCCAGAAGCUUAAAAAAUGGUACGCUGGUCCUUAGAAAGGUUUUCGAAAAUACUGUUGAGAUAGGAGCAGGAAAGUUUCAAGCCAAUUGGGAAGACCCCUAUAUAAUAUCUAAGACAAAUGAAAGUGGAGCUUAUCAUUUACAAAAGCUAGACGAAACCCCAUUGCUCCGAUCAUGGAAUGUAUCUAAUCUAAAGCAGUAUUACCAAUGAAAGAGAAAUAGAAGUGCAAUUUGAAUAAGUAUGUUUUAUUAAUACUUGUCAAAAUUGUAUACAAAGAGUUCUCCGGACUACAAAAUACAGGGAAAGGAUAGCAGUAAAAAUUACAAAAAGAAAAGUUCUCAUUGGGCAGGCUUGCCGCGUAGCUUCUUCUCCUUACCUGGGGAAAUCGAAGAGACGUCCCGUUUGAUACCAUGUUUUUUCAUACAACAACGAUAGCCGAAGAAGUACAUUUCGUCUACCUGCUUCUGGUAGUCCGCUUCAAGUUCCUCCCUUUCCACAACAAACUCAGCCUCCAACUCUUCUUUUUGUGCUGAUAAAUGCGACUGUAAAUCCUCUCUCUGCUUUUUCUCGAUUGACACCUCUGUCCGGAGUUGCCUCACUUCUCCCCUCAGCUGGGCCAUCUCGCCCUUCGCCUCAUGCAGGCGGGCGUCUGUAGAUUCCUCCCGGAUCUUUGCCUCAGCAAGCUCUAUCCGGAGAGCCUCGUUGUCCUCUCGAGCAGCGGAUAAACUGGCUUCAACCUGCUCUAGUCUCAAGCGUAGCUCCUCUUCACUGUUUUUGCGCUGAGAGACGAAGGCCUUCGUAUAAUCAGCAGUCUGCAGCAGACUAGAAAAAAGAUCACGUUGUUGAGCCAUGCCACGAAUACCGCUCACCAGCUGCAGAAAAACCCACAAACAAGAAGUGCAAAAUUACAACCCAUAUGACAAACACAUUAGUAUGGCAAGAAAAAUCAAGAAGUAAACUAUACCAUUUCCGCCGCUUCAAACAUCUUUACUGAAGGCACAUCAACAUCUGAGCCGGAUGGAAUCCGUUUCAGCAUCUCUCCCAACUCAGCAUAGCUGAAAGGACUAGCGGAGAUGCAAACUGCAUCAUCAACGGGACUCCCCCAUGAUGAGGCAUUAGGGAGUGACUCCUCCCCCGGGUCCAGGGCCCCAUCAUUCUCGACUGGCUGGGUCUCUCCGGGUGAACCCCCAUCCGGGACCAGCACCGGGGCGGUUAGGUUCUCUUCUGCCAUCUCCGUCUCACUCCCCUCCGGAUGAUCCUCCUGGAUGGACGAGCAGCUGACUUCGAUAGUUUCCAGAAAACGUUCUUGAAGCCGCCCAAUGAGGCCAGACUUUAAGUCACGGGCUGGACGAGACCUCCUUGUAGCUGGCCCCUUCACCGGUGCAAAGGCAAGGGGGCUUGGCUCGCAAGGAGGCAAACCUUGACUUUCUGCCCCCGUUUCUUCCGUUGGGGGUGCCGUAGGAGGCAAUGCUUCAGCACGAGAGGCCCCGGCUACAUCCGCGUCCGGAUGGGGAGAGCCGGGCUGGUUCACUGAAGUCGCCUCCUCAAAUAGAAGGGUCAGCCGUCCAGCCACUGGCAUCGAAGGCCCCGAAUGGUUGAGACCCCCGAGACGUCCGGAGCCGCUUGAAACAUAAGACAAGAUGGGGAGAUCUGGCAUUCUUAUUAUUAUUCCUCCCCUUACGAAAGUUGGAGCUGGUAUUACAACUUCCUAUGGGGGAGUUGGGAGUUUUAUUUUUUUUCCCUUAUUUAGAACCAACUUCUUCUUCUUUUUUGCUGGAGCGCCAACAGGUGGAGAGGACGCGGGGCGUUUAUCACCAAGAGCCUUCCGCAAAAGUCAUUCUUGUCUUUUCUUCUCCCGUUUGUUGAGGCAGGCUUUGCGUGACCGGGCGUCUGUCUUCCGCACCGUCGCGUAGAAUGGGAGAUCUUUGAGAACGAAGUGCUCCCCAGCCACCACCUCUUUGGGCAGCCGCCUCGGAAGUAUGUUCAGCACGUACGGCUGGGGCUCCUGGGUGACCGAGCGGAGAUUCUGCACGGAGAGAAGCAUUUCACAACUCCGCUCGGCCGCCGCAAUCUCAAAAAGCCUGUUCAAACGGUCGAACGAGGCUUUCUCCACCCAUUCCACCAGCUUCCCCCUUUUAUCCUGGCCUGCACCCAAGAAAGCAAAGUAUGUCAGCCACCUAACAAUGCUGACCUAAACUCACAAACCACGGAAAGACAGGAAGUAAUUUAGUCAUACCUAGGACCUUAAACGACUGGUUGGGAGCGAACAGCCUAUCCGGAUGCGCCGCCAAACCCGCCCAUAGGCCCUUGACCAGCACAUGUCCCCUGGCGGCCCCCUUGGUUAAGUCCGGAAGGCUGGUCACCAACUAAAGCGAUGGAAGGCUCGCGACAAAGCUGAAGAUGUCAUUUUUCACCUCUUGAUCGAAUAAAUGAAGAGAACCUCCAGCAGUGAGAGAUCCAGAUUGAACAGCAUGACCAGAAUGCUGCACCCCAUCAACACCCGGACCAUGUUGGGAUGAAUAUAAGCCGGAGGAAUCUGGGUGAAGUGAAGAAACUCCUUGAACAACGACAGCAGGGGGAACCGGAGCCCAACAUUGAACUGCUCAUUGGUGAAGAAGAUAGCGUUGUCCUCAGUUUUCUCAGUCGACACGGCCUCUCCAUCCGUAAGUUCAACGAAUACGCCAUUUGGGAUGCAGAACCGUUCGCGAAACUCCUUCACAUUCAACUUAUCCACGGAUUUCUCAGCAUGAGCAUCUCCAGACGAGCUAGAUGAAGUAGCUUCCUUGUUCGCAGACAUUUUUUAGGUUGGGGCUGAAAUGGAAUCUGCAUGGAAGAAUGCCAACAGUCAAACACAGUAAUCCGACCCCACAACCUUAAACUCUACCCCAAAGAAGAAUCGAUGGCCCACAAAAGGCACAGGAGGGCAACAGAAACCCUAACCACACCCAAAACACGAUCAAAACCCCCCGAAAAAAGCUCUAGAAAACCAAUACCGACUCCCAAUCGCAAAGAAACUUGCCCAAACAAACCAAAAGCAAAACCACAAAGCAAACACAACGAAGAUAAGACAAGAAUAGCGAACGUACCGAGUGUAAACUGGAAAAAUGGGAUGAAAUCCGCAGUGCAGUCACCGUCACGACGCGAAUAUUGCAGGCAGAAAACCCUAGAGCUUCACUCGAAAACGAAGAUACGCAGAAGGUAGAAGAAAAAACACUAACAGGAAAAAACGCAGAAGGAAAAAUGCAAGAGGAGGCACAGUCUGCUAUUUAUAGUGAGACAACCCCUCGGUAUCCCAAACGCUCAGCCACACCAUCAUUGAAACGACACGCUGCCUAGGAAUACCUAGAGACGACGACUCAUCAUAAAUGUUCUUCCCUCUCUCUUCGCCCCCGCUCGCCACGUGGCCCAAUGAGCACCAAAAAGAAACCUCAGUUUCAAAAAACAAUUAUUUUUAACCCGCCCAUUCUGCUCAGGCAAAAUCGGCAAGUUAAAAAGGGGGGCAUUUUAGGGACCCCUCCUCCUAAUGACACAUGACACACAUUUCCUGAUGACACGUGACACGCAUUCUUAUCCGGAUUAACCCCAUCUGGAUUUCCCCCAAAAGUACACGUGGUGCGCUUCUCCUAUUCGGACUCUCUCAGGGAGAGGCACACGACACUCACAAACAUAACAUCCGGACGACCGACAUAUCCUAUCCGGAUAUGUUUGUCUGGAUCAUUGACAGAAGUAAGCAAGUCUUGCAUGUCAUUACAACAGUCUGCCAUGGUCCAUGUUUCGCCACCUGUAGAGUGAAAGGACAUGAAUGAAAUGAUGACAAGUCACCUCCAACGAUCUCUGACAACCGCGACGCCUCCCACGAUCUCUGUCAGCCGCUCGUAGGGUGAUGAUGACCCUGCUACCACUUAGAGGCAUCAUGACAAGCCAAAAUAUCUCCCUACCAUUAAAGAGAGAGACAGAACUUCUGAUACUAUAUAUAUGGACCUUCACACAAGGAGAAAGGUAAGCUUGCUAUACCUAAUAAAAGGCCAACUGAUUUAUCUCUCUAACCAUGGCUGACAAAACCAUCGAAGGGUGUGUCCGGACACCCUGUCCGGACGCCUUUUGCAGGAAC
rnacentral:lncRNA from 1 species